UACAGGGGAUGCAAGUGUUAUCCGGAAUUAUUGGGCGUAAAGCGUCUGCAGGUGGAUAAUUAAGUCUUAUGUCAAAUUUCUAGGCUCAACCUGGAGUCGGCAAAAGAAACUACUUAUCUCGAGUAUGGUAGAGGUAAAGGGAAUUUCAAGUGGAGCGGUGAAAUGCGUAGAUAUUUGAAAGAACUCCAAUAGCGAAGGCACUUUACUGGGCCAUUACUGACACUCAGAGACGAAAGCUAGGGGAGCAAACAGG
rnacentral:rRNA from 1 species